GUUUAAGUGUGCCGCGCAGGAGUACUCGUUUAAAACUUCUGUGACUUUAGGUUGUAUGAGUCUCAGAUGCCAUCUUACCUUUGUUAUUUUUAGGAUGUUCAUGUCCCAGUAUGCCCAUUGUGUAAUACCCCCAUCCCAGUAAAAAAGGGCCAGAUACCAGACGUGGUGGUUGGCGAUCACAUUGACAGAGACUGUGACUCUCACCCUGGGAAGAAGAAAGAGAAGAUUUUUACAUACCGUUGCUCAAAAGAGGGCUGCAAGAAGAAAGAGAUGCUGCAGAUGUCAUGUGCCCAGUGUCAUGGCAACUUCUGUAUCCAGCACAGACACCCUUUGGACCACAGCUGCAGACACGGGAGUCGCCCCACCAUCAAAGCCGGGUGAGAAGAGACUCAGCUGCGAAGGCUCGGAACACGCAGUAGCAGCUUACACUGUAGUGGGAAGUGGAGCCCCAUUGAGCACCAUCCCACACUGGCUACUGAUCUUGUUUGUUGAGGGAGAUGGGACUAUAAUAAAAUUGAAUGCUGAAGUUG
rnacentral:sRNA from 1 species